rnacentral:tRNA from 1 species
UGGAGUAUGGUGGAAUUGGCAGACACGCUAUCCUGUUUAGAUGGUGAUAUUUAUAUCGUGGGGGUUCGAUUCCUUCUGCUCCAG